rnacentral:rRNA from 2 species
CAUCCCCCACAAAUGUGUGGGGUCNAUGAUG